CCGUUUCGGAGCCUGGAGCAGGGGGGCAGGAGGGGCUCAGGGAGGAAGUAUGUGAAGCCCCUGGCCCUCUCUGCCCUUCCGUCCCCCGUUCC
ensembl:miRNA